rnacentral:rRNA from 1 species
AUGGCAACGACGGCCGCAUGCGGCCUGUGUGAAGAAGAGUUUGAUUCUUGGCGCCACUCCUUGUUUGAUUGUAGGAUGGCUAGAUGCGUGUGGGCGCUCGGAGAUGAGGAGAUCCUUGAGCAUGUGAUAUCAAACAGAAGUGACGACGCGAGGCUCUGGCUGUUUUGGCUAUUUGACUCGAUGAGCCAGCAUGAUCUCGCGAGAGUUUUGAUUACCAUGUGGGCAAUAUGGUGGGCUCGCUGUAGAGCGAUACAUGAUGACGAAUUCCAAAGCCCCAUGACCACAAUGUGCUUUGUUAACCGAUACUUGCAGGACUUGGAAAUUGCUACUACCAGGACACCGACGAGACAGCCACAGGCUGUGACGCCAAGAGCUCGCGCAUGGAUCCCACCUUCAGGGAAUGCGGCGAAGAUUAAAGUUGAUGGUGCUAUUUCCCGCCAGGGCACGACGGGAGCUUCAGCCGUUGUUUGCAGGGAUCAGCAUGGCAAUUACCUUGGAGCAUCUGCGGUGGUAUUCGAUGGGCUGGUCGAUGCUCCGAGCCUCGAAGCUCAAGCAUGCAAUGAGGCUCUUGCCCUAGCGCAAGACCUGCUUUUGACGCAUGCGAUAAUAGAGUCAGACUGCGUGCAAGUGAUACAAGACAUAAAUGGAGCGUCGAGUUCUUCUUCUUAUGCUUUAGUUUUGAAUGAGAUUAGAGACAGAGUUUCAGAUUUUGUUAGUAUUACUUUUCGGUUUGAAAACAGGGAGGCAAACUUUGAAGCACAUGCCUUGGCAAAGGCAGCUUCGUCUCUCCCUGUAGGGCGCCAUUUGUGGCUAGGGAACCCUCCAGACAUCAUUUGUAUUCCUGCUGUGAUUGUUGAAUAA